rnacentral:rRNA from 1 species
UACGGGAGGCAGUAGUGGGGAAUAUUGCACAAUGGGCGCAAGCCUGAUGCAGCCAUGCCGCGUGUAUGAAGAAGGCCUUCGGGUUGUAAAGUACUUUCAGUCGUGAGGAAGGUGUUAAGGUUAAUAACCUUAGCAAUUGACGUUAGCGACAGAAGAAGCACCGGCUAACUCCGUGCCAGCAGCCGCGGUAAUACGGAGGGUGCGAGCGUUAAUCGGAAUUACUGGGCGUAAAGGGCACGCAGGCGGUUAAUUAAGUUGGAUGUGAAAUCCCCGGGCUUAACCUGGGAAUGGCAUUCAAGCUGGUUAGCUAGAGUCUUGUAGAGGGGGUAGAAUUCCAUGUGUAGCGGUGAAAUGCGUAGAGAUGUGGAGGAAUACCGGUGGCGAAGGCGGCCCCGUCGGACAAAGACUGACGCUCAUGUGCGAAAGCGUGGGGAGCAAACAGGGAUUAGAUACC